GAUGAAGAACGUAGCAAAAUGCGAUAAGUAAUGUGAAUUGCAGAAUUCAGUGAAUCAUCGAAUCUUUGAACGCACAUUGCACCCGCUGGUAUUCCGGCGGGCAUGCCUGUUCGAGCGUCAUUUCAACCCUCAAGCCCCCGGGUUUGGUGUUGGGGAUCGGCUCUGCCCUUCUGGGCGGUGCCGCCCCCGAAAUACAUUGGCGGUCUCGCUGCAGCCUCCAUUGCGUAGUAGCUAACACCUCGCAACUGGAACGCGGCGCGGCCAUGCCGUAAAACCCCAACUUCUGAAUGUUGACCUCGGAUCAGGUAGGAAUACCCGCUGAACUUAAGCAUAUCAAUAAGCGGAGGA
rnacentral:misc_RNA from 1 species